rnacentral:lncRNA from 1 species
ACGCUCCAACGGUGGCGUGACGUUGGUCGUGUUGGACGUUGUGGAAAUGUGCUCCUCUCCUCGAUAGAUUGUGUGAGUUGGGUUCUAUAAUCUGGUGUACUACCAGAAAGUUGAGCACAUCAAAUCAUAAUCGUUAGAUUAGAGCAGUGAUAAUUUGUUGGAGGAAAAAUUACUUGUGUAUGGUACGAGAUAACUUUUCAUCACACACGCUAACCAGUGUCUAGGUUUGCAUGUCUUUUUUACUUAACUUUUCAUUUAUUUGGAGAUAUAAGAUUGAUCUGUGGUUGGAGAAAGAUAAAAAGAGAAAAAAAAAAGUUGUAGCUUUGAAUCCUUCAACUGAUAUUUUUAAUAAAAACAGUAAAUUAAUAUUUAUUAAUAAAAAAAUAUUCAUUUAUAGUCAAUCGGGAGACUUCACCAUGAUACUUAACUCCAAAAACAGGGAUACUCAUUCAAACAUUAGCUUAUUUUUAAAUAAAUAGUUGCAUUAAAUAGUUGAAAUAUGAGAUAAUUUUUAAAAUUUUAUAAAAAAGAACUUAAUUAUCUGUUCAACAAAAGCUUGACUC